GCCGAUGCUUUCACUGUAAAUGAUGAGGAGGGGUUCUAGCUUGUUCAAUACCGAAAGAAAAAGACGACAGUGAGCAGAUGAAAGCUUAUCUUAAUGGCGGCCGGGGCCAGGGCAGCAAGAUCUACCAGGUUGGUAUACCACCCUCUUGUCUUAUUGAUGGUUGAGCAGAUGAAGGAGCGGAUGGAUCCAACCCACUGAAAGAUGUGUGUUGUGCCGUUGAUUCCCGCAUGCAGGUGACGCUGGCUCCUCUCGCAACCGCAGUUGAAGAGGAUGGCGACGAGGGCGGAAGGGAGCAAAUGCAAACGCAAACACAAAGCGUAGCUGGUGCUCACCCUCGUGUCAGUCGGCCGGCGCCGGCGGCCCCAAGGACAAAGAGGCAGCCAGCCGGCGGAAAAAGAAAGAAAGAGACGACUGUAAUCUAAUCUAAACUAAUACGAACCGACGGUGAGGACCUAGCCUGGGUGUGGGAAACUAGGCGCCCGUCGAGCGUACACGAGGAGAAGAAAAGAUAGCGGCUUGCCUCCGGAGACCCUCACUACCAUGCACUUCCCUGAUCAGCCGCCGCCACCAGGGUAUGAACAGCGACGACAUUGCCGCUUCAUCGUCGAAACACCUUCUUUUGUUUAGCCGAAAUCUCUUUGGGGGUCCGGACUUCCGGUCGAGGAAGUUGUAAGUGUGCUAGUGUAAUAGUACCAUUUCAGUCCGUAGUUUGUUGAUUUGAUUGUGGCUUUUUUGUU
rnacentral:lncRNA from 1 species